AGCGAACGCUGGCGGCAGGCCUAACACAUGCAAGUCGAACGAACCUUUCGGGGUUAGUGGCGGACGGGUGAGUAACACGUGGGAACGUGCCUUUAGGUUCGGAAUAACUCAGGGAAACUUGUGCUAAUACCGAAUGUGCUCUUCGGGGGAAAGAUUAAUCGCCUUUGGAGCGGCCCGCGUCUGCUUAGCUAGUUGGUUGAGGUAAUGGCUCACCAAGGCGACGAUCAGUAGCUGGUCUGAGAGGAUGAUCAGCCACAUUGGGAAUGAGACACGGCCCAAACUCGGACGGAAGGGAGCAGUGGGGAAUCUUGCGCAAGGGGCGAAAGCGUGACGAAGCCAUGCCGGGGGAAUGAUGAAGGUCUUAGGAUUGUAAAAUUCUUUCACCGGGGACGAUAAUGACGGUACCCGGAGAAGAAGCCCCGGCUAACUUCGUG
rnacentral:rRNA from 1 species